rnacentral:rRNA from 1 species
GAUGAACGCUAGCUACAGGCUUAACACAUGCAAGUCGAGGGACCGGCGCACGGGUGAGUACCACUUAUCCAACCUGCCCUUUACUCGGGGAUAGCCUUUCGAAAUAACGAUUAAUACCCGAUAUAAAGGAUGGGGUUGCGUGCCAUUAGGUUGUUGGUGAGGUAACGGCUCACCAAGCCUUCGAUGGAUAGGUGUGCUGAGAGGAAGGUCCCCCACAUUUGAACUGAGACACGUGCCAAACUCGUACGGGAGGCAGCAGUGAGGAAUAUUGGUCAAUGGGCGGUAGCCUGAAACAGCCAAGUAGCGUGAAGUAUGAAGGAUUAGGGGUCGUAAACUUCUUUUAUAUAAGAAUAUGUAUUAUAUGAAUAAGGAAAGGCUAACUCCGUGCCAGCAGCCGCGGUAAUUC